GAUGAACGCUAGCGGCAGGCCUAACACAUGCAAGUCGAGGGGUAGAGGAAGCUUGCUUCCUUGAGACCGGCGCACGGGUGCGUAACGCGUAUGCAAUCUACCUUUUACAGAGGGAUAGCCCAGAGAAAUUUGGAUUAAUACCUCAUAGUAUUUUCGAAUGGCAUCAUUCGAUUAUUAAAGUUCCAACGGUAAAAGAUGAGCAUGCGUCCUAUUAGCUAGAUGGUAAGGUAACGGCUUACCAUGGCAACGAUAGGUAGGGGUCCUGAGAGGGGGAUCCCCCACACUGGUACUGAGACACGGACCAGACUCCUACGGGAGGCAGCAGUGAGGAAUAUUGGACAAUGGGCGCAAGCCUGAUCCAGCCAUGCCGCGUGCAGGAAGACGCAUCUAUGGUGUGUAAACUGCUUUUGUACGGGAAGAAACACUCCCUCGUGAGGGAGCUUGACGGUACCGUAAGAAUAAGGAUCGGCUAACUCCGUGCCAGCCGCCGCAGUAAAAC
rnacentral:rRNA from 1 species